GAAAUAAUUCAAAUUUAUUUUAAAUAAUAAAUUAUACACUUUUAUAUCAUGGAAUGAGUGUUUGUAAUUAAAAUUAUUUAAAUAUGAGUUCAAGAUUAAUUAUUAUACAUAGAGAAAAUGUUAAUAAAUUAAUAAUUUUUUUCUUAUGAAUUAAAUAUAAAUAUUAAUAUUAAUAAUACCAGUAUUCACGCCAUUGUUAAAUAAAAAAAAAAAGAAACUAAUCAUUUUAAUAUUAAUUUGAAUUAGUAAUAUAAUAUUUGUAUGAACAUAAGAAUUUUUUUCAAACUAAAUUUUUAGUUUAUUUUUCUAUGUGCUAAUACAAUGAAUAUAUGAAUUGGUAUCAUGGUGGAAGAAUAUUGAUUUCAUGAGGUAUCUCAUCUAUUUUGAAAAAACUAUAUUCAGAUUUGUUUCAGAGAAUAAAUAAUACAUAAAAACAAACUCAAUUUUGUCACCACUCAUCCGUCAAUUUUAGUAUGUUUUAAGGCCUAUUUGGUAUUGAAGUUAAGUAGCUGUAGUUUUUAAGUUACGAUACUAAAAUAUUUGGUAAACAUUAACUGUUGUUGUUUGGAACCGAAAUUGAUUUGAUCCUCGACUAUAUGCAAAUAUAUAUAUCUUAAUAAUAUAUGUUGUGUAGACUUUCGAGAAUUUAUUAUAGAAAAUGUUACUAAAAGAUCAAAUGUUUGAUUAUCUUAUAAACAACAUGUGUCAUUAUCUUAUACAAAAUUUAAGAAAGAUUAGAAUAUGAGAGGAUCCAAAUCCCUUUAUCUAUUAUAAUUCUCUGCUUAGUCAAAGUUACUGUCAACAUUUAUUAUAAGGUUUCCAAUUAAAAUGCUUAAACAAAAUUAAUUUUCAAGCAAAUAAACACCUGCUAUUCCAAGGAUGAGCGCACAAUGAUCCAGGUAAAAUACUCGGAGCCAUAACUAAAAAAAUGACAUAAAUAUAAAUCAUACAUACCUUGGAGUCUGUUUUGGUCAAGAUAUAAAUACUUAAAGUCGAUGGGAUUUUGCCGUCAAAGUCGUUUACUUCUAAGAUGAGGAUUUCCAGAAAAGGAAGGUUGUUGCAAAUAUUUGGCGGGAGUUCACCUGGCACCAAAUAAUAUAUUAUAUUCAAAAUGAAUAUUAUCUAGUAAAGAAAACUUGCAUAAGAUGAACGAAGAUAUUGGACCGGAAAGCUGGUUGUAGCUAAGAUAAAGUGUUUGAAGUGAAGAUGGAUUCCUAGUUGAGAAGGAAUGAUGCAUGUUAAGAAAUCAUUUGUUAGCGAUGGCAUCACAAAUUAUAUUAUAUAAAGAUAAGCAGUGAUUUCAUGCCAAAUAUUUUAUGUUGACGUCACUAAUGCAUAUAAUUAGCAAAGACUACCUGUCAAUUUAUUAACUGACAAAUCCAAAUUCGAUAGAGAAGAAAGAUUGAAGAUUGAUGAAGGAAUAGCUCCAGUUAAGAAAUUUUUUGUAGCCAUAACGUCUCUAAUUCUGCAAGAUUCCCCAGCUCCUCUGGGAUUUCUCCUAAAAAUCAUGAGUAACAUAUGCGUUAACUAUUUUAACUUAUUAACCAGCGUUCAAUAAGAAAAAAAGGAAAUUAAAAAAAAAAGUUUUUGCCCUAAGAGAGAUAAAAAAAUUUAUGAAAAAAAUAAAUAAAAUUAUGUAAAAUGAAAGAUAAGCCAUACCAAAUAUGCUCUAAGGCUAGGAUUUUUCAAAAUCAAAACAUUUUUUUUUAUGCCUAAAUAAACUUAUAAACUUAACUACCAUAUCAUAAGCUGUUGCUUGUUUCUGACUUCUUCUUCUCUACUACUCAUUAUAUCACUAACUUUAAAACUUUUGCAUAAACAUGAGCAAAGAAGAAACAUUGCCAAUUAAUUCUUAAUUCUUUUACGAAUUUAUGCCAUGGAAUUAGAUUAAAAUGGGAUGCAUUAUUGUCAUUGGUAUUCUGCAAUAACAAUUGACAGAUGAGGUAGACAAUAUCAAUUGAACACAAUUUCUAUUUGCAAUCGUCUGAAAUUAAUUUAACUUUAGACACAUAUAAAUAUUGUUCCAUUUUUCUAAUUCUCCAUUUGAUUUUGGACCCUAGAAAGACAAUUAAAAAAAAAAAGGAAGAAAAGAAAAACAUCUAAUCUGCGAGGUAGAUAAUCAAAAUUUGUUGAGUGAUACAAAAUAAAAGAAAAUGCAAUAUAAAAAAAGAAACUAACAAAGUGAAAGAAAUAGAAGGUUUACGCGUGUUAGACGUUCAUUAAUCUUAGAGAGCUAGUCUUAGAUUUUUAAUUAGGCAAUGAAACGAUGUGUUUUAAUUUUAAUAAGGAAAGUUUAAAUAAGAGUGAUGAUAGAGCCACAAACUCUUGUACAAAAUUAUAUUGUACAAACUGAUGUAGCAUUAAUUCAUUGGUUGAAUGAAAAUACAAAAUAACAAAAAUAAAUCAUGUGGGCCAAUAGAUAUUUAAUUCAACCAAUUGUAUUAUGCCACAUCAAUUUGUACAAGAUAAGUUUGUACAAAAGUUUGUGGUUGUAUCAUUACUCUUAAAGAAGGAAUUAGCCUUAGAAAGGUAUAAAUGAUUGUGUCGUGAUCUUAUACAAAAUUUAAGAAAGAUUAGAAUAGUCGAAGAUCCAAAUCUCUUUAUCUAUUAUAUUUAUUCGUUUAAAUACUAACAAGGAGAUUAAAGUUACUGUCAACAUUUAUUAUAAGGUUUCCAAUUGAAAUGCUUAAACACAAUUGAUUUUCGAGCAAAUAAACAUUUUUUAAUUUUUCUAUCAACCUUUCUGAAAUUCUAAGAACGAGCGCACAAUGGUCCAGGUAAAAUACCCAGGAGUGAUAACUAAAAAAUGACAUAAAUAUAAAUCAUACAUACCUUGGAGUCUGUUUUGGUCAGAUAUAAAUACUUAAGCUUGGUCAAAUUGCCGAUUUCUUUUGGUAUGUCUCCUGAGAAGUCAUUCAUCAACAAAGAUAAUGUUUGU
rnacentral:lncRNA from 1 species